GUAGGUCCCGAUUCAUGGUUCGAUUAUGUCCUUAUCGGUGUCUGGUGAAGGAUUCUGUUGAGGAUUAAACAUGGAGAAUGGUCAUGAAUUACUCAGCAAUGGAAAACCAGCUGAUCCUGGUCUCCAAAUUAUUAGGCACCCCUCUUACCAAUCAUCUUGUGGUAAAUUAUUGUUAUCCUGGUUAGAUAUAAGAGUUUUCUAUAUUAGAGUCAGCAAUUUUAUGGUAGAUGAUUCCACCCCGGAAUAUCUUACUCUCAACCACAUUCCUCUAAGUCCCGAUACAUUGCUUGAAGUUAAUGGAACAAGAUGUUCCAUGUAUUCAGAAGGAGCAUCUUGUCUCCUUCGAAGGGAUAGGGUUGAUAAGAAAUCCGAAGAAGCUACAUUUGUGAGCACGGAUAGUAUAAGGUUGACAGGAAGUGUGAAAUUUGAGGUUUUCAAUAAAGAUGAUCUUGUGCUCUCGGGUUUUUUAGAGAUGUCGAAUAGUAAUGGUUUUGUUGGGGAGUCUAAAAACAGUGGCAAGAGAUGGAACAUGAAUUGUGAAUCGGUGAUGAAUGCUGGCACUGGUUUCCUGAAGGGUAAACAAAUUAUGGAUUCUGAAUCAUUUUCACCAACAAUUGAAGUCUUUAUUACUGGUUGCUUCUCCGGGACACCUAUCAUCUUGACCAAGAGUUUGCAGCUCAAUCAUCGGAAGAAGCACAACAGGAAGGGUAUGUUGCACUCAAUCCCGGAGCAUGAAACAGAUGAGCAGCAGAAAGAUGUCUCAUCUGAACUUGAUCUGCAGGUUACAGAGUAUAGAAAGUAUGAACUAGAAAGCGAAGAAGACUACAACAUGUAUUGGAGACAAACGGAAUAUAUGGAUGGUGAAGAUGGGGAACUGUCCUGGUUCAAUGCUGGGGUCCGUGUUGGUGUAGGGAUCGGUCUUGGCAUUUGCGUAGGAGUUGGAAUAGGAGUUGGCCUGUUAGUCCGCACCUACCAGACUACUACGAGGAACUUCAGAAGGCUUGUGUGAUUAUGUAGCGUUUGCUGCAUUUGUUUUUGCAUAGACCAAACGGCUAACAACAGAUAUAUGUUUGUCUUGAGAGUGUGAAUUCUGCUCAUUAGACAGUUUCAGUGUAGCUAACCAUCAUACAUUUUCGUGUUAACUUACUUCCUGCUAGCUUUUCGUCUUCCCAUGCCCCAUCCCCGUGUUAAGUUAAGUCUCUUUGUACCUCCUUGUUUUGGAUUUAGGUGUGCAAACUCUUACUGUUGUAGAUGUUCCAUUCUGUUGCUGAG
rnacentral:misc_RNA from 1 species